CAACUUAGCAGAUACACAUCUAACGGCCAGAUUUUCAUCGUUGAGCUGAUCAUUUUAUCUCCUUGUAAGAGAGCUUCACCAUUCCUAGUUUUCCUGAUAAAUGCUUCCUUCGAUCUUCAUUCUCUGCUUUCAACUUUAUAUAACUUGCGUCUCAUUUCCAUCAAACCUUCUUUUCUGGACUACUUUUUGUCGGGUGACCAUAUAUCAUUUUCUCUUCAACUAUUCAGAACAAAAAGGUUUGAUUGCUGAAUGUUUAAGUAGAAGAAACAAACAAGUCUGGAAAAAAAAUCAACGGGAAAUGUCAGAGUUGAUGACUUUGGUGCUGUGUUGCCGGCGGGAGUAGAGUAAUAAGAAAAGUAACAUAAAAAAAAAAAUGCAAGAGGCUGUAUUCCUCUUCAGUGAGGAGAAUCUAAACAAGGGGCAAUCCUCAGGGGGUCGUAGCGGCGGGGCCACCAAAUAUAAACAGAGUUCCCGUCGCGUGGUCCCCACAACAAACUGCGAGCUGAGUGACGGGAAGGCCGAGAUUAGAAUAGUAGAGAAAGUUUUGAAGAACGGUGACCUCUACAACGGAGGCUUAUCGGCGGGGGUGCCUCACGGUACAGGGAAGUAUCUGUGGUCGGAUGGCUGCAUGUACGAAGGGGAAUGGACACGUGGCAAAGCGAGUGGGAAAGGGCGUUUUUCUUGGCCGUCUGGAGCUACCUACGAGGGUCAGUUCAAGGAUGGUCGAAUGGACGGGGAGGGAACGUUCAUAGGAAUCGACGGCGAUACUUACAGAGGGCACUGGCUCUGGGGGAGAAAGCAUGGCUACGGAGAGAAGAGGUACGCGAACGGCGACGUUUAUCAAGGGAACUGGAAGGCUAAUCUGCAAGACGGUAACGGACGUUAUGUGUGGAGCGAUGGGAAUGAGUACGUGGGAGAGUGGAAGAACGGUGUUAUCUCUGGGAAAGGGAUCAUGACUUGGGCUAACGGAAACCGUUACGAAGGGAUGUGGGAAAACGGAGCUCCGGUUGGGAAAGGGGUUUUGAGUUGGAACGAGGAGAAGACAAGUAAUAAUAAUCAGUUCGGUGGGUGGGGGAGGAAGAACAAAAAGAAAGACGAUGAGAUUGUGCAGCAGCAAAAGCUCUCUUCGGUAGAAACUUUGUCAAAGACUACCAACUUUCCGCGGAUUUGUAUAUCGGAGCUGGAGGAUUCAAACGCGUGUGAUAAUGUAGAGGCGGGGUCGAUGUUGAGUCCGUACACGAGCGAGUCAGAUACAGGUGAUAACGCGAGCGGAUGUGGAGAGUAUGAGUGGGCAAGGAGCCCUUUGCUUUUGGAGAGUGGUGGUGCCAUGAGUUCGCAGCAAAGUCCGAGAUGGCUGGACGAAGGGGAUGUUAAGAAACCGGGGUAUACAGUUACUGCCGGACAUAAAAGCUAUGAUUUGAUGUUGAAUCUACAGCUUGGCAUCAGAUAUUCUGUUGGCAAACAUGCUUCGGUUUUGAGGGAGCUUAGGCAUUGUGAUUUUGAUCCCAAGGAUAAACAAUGGACCAGGUUCCCGCCCGAAGGAUCUAAGUGUACACCUCCCCAUCAGUCCAUCGAUUUUAAAUGGAAAGACUACUGCCCCAUUGUGUUUAGGCAUCUAAGAGAGUUAUUUACUAUAGACCCAGCGGAUUACAUGCUCGCUAUUUGUGGAGAUGAAUCUCUUCGGGAAUUUUCUUCUCCUGGAAAGAGUGGAAGCUCCUUCUACCUGACUCAAGACGAACGCUUCAUGAUUAAAACCAUGAAGAAAUCUGAAAUAAAGGUGUUGCUUAAGAUGCUCCCAAAUUAUUAUGAGCAUGUCUCGAAGUACAAAAACUCAUUGGUCACCAAGUUUUUUGGCGUGCAUUGUGUCAAACCAGUAGGGGGGCAAAAGACUCGGUUCAUAGUGAUGGGAAAUCUAUUUUGUUCGGAGUAUCGUAUACACAAACGGUUUGACCUGAAAGGUUCAUCGCAUGGCCGUACGAUUGACAAGGAUGAAGGUGAAAUCGACGAGACCACAACACUCAAAGACUUGGAUCUCAAGUAUGUCUUUCGACUCGAGACCUCGUGGUUUCAUGCCUUUAUCAACCAAAUCGACAUCGACUGUGAGUUUCUUGAAGCUGAGCGGAUUAUGGAUUAUAGUCUCUUAAUUGGUCUCCAUUUCCGGGAAUCUUGCUUGCGUGACGAUAUUUCCUUGGGGAUCGGUCGAAGAGAUCAGGAAGACAAAUUGAUGAGAGGAUAUAAUUCGCUUCCGAAUAUGGACUCUGUCACGCAGACUUGUAAUGGACCAUUAAUUAGACUUGGGGAAAGUACACCCGCAAAAGCAGAGCAGGUGAGCAGAUUUGAGGAAGAAGCGUGGGAAGAUGACAGCAUUGACAACUCAAAUCCAAAGAAUACAAGGAAGGAGGUUGUUGACGUGAUCCUGUACUUCGGUAUUAUUGAUAUUCUUCAAGACUAUGAUAUCACCAAAAAGUUAGAGCACGCCUACAAGUCACUCCAUGCAGAUCCCACUUCUAUAUCAGCUGUUGAUCCCAAGCUUUAUUCCAAAAGGUUUAGAGACUUUAUAAACAAGAUAUUUGUUGAAGACAAAUGAGAAAAUAUAAUAUGCAACAGCUGCACAAGUUUAAAGACCAAGAAUCUAAAGAUCCACCAAGAGUUAUAUUGUACAUUGGAAUCUCUAGGCAUGUGAUUGGAUGUUGAAGAUAUUGCAUGCGGCUGUUUUAACAUGAUUUUAUUGGAGGGGAGGGGCGGGGAGGUGGUUCAUAAAUUUUAUUGGAGAGGAUAGAUUUUUGGUGCUUUCUCAAAAGUUUUUUUUUUGAAUAGUUUGUAAAAUUUGUUCAGAAAACACUUUUGUACAAGAUUUAGCUA